rnacentral:rRNA from 1 species
GACGAACGCUGGCGGCGUGCUUAACACAUGCAAGUCGAACGGAAAGGCCCUGCUUUUGUGGGGUGCUCGAGUGGCGAACGGGUGAGUAACACGUGAGUAACCUGCCCUUGACUUUGGGAUAACUUCAGGAAACUGGGGCUAAUACCGGAUAGGAGCUCCUGCUGCAUGGUGGGGGUUGGAAAGUUUCGGCGGUUGGGGAUGGACUCGCGGCUUAUCAGCUUGUUGGUGGGGUAGUGGCUUACCAAGGCUUUGACGGGUAGCCGGCCUGAGAGGGUGACCGGCCACAUUGGGAAUGAGAUACGGCCCAGACUCCUACGGGAGGCUGCAGUGGGGAAUAUUGCACAAUGGGCGGAAGCCUGAUGCAGCAACGCCGCGUGCGGGAUGACGGCCUUCGGGUUGUAAACCGCUUUCGCCUGUGACGAAGCGUGAGUGACGGUAAUGGGUAAAGAAGCACCGGCUAACUACGUG